GUUCGCCAUUUAAAGUGGUACGCGAGCUGGGUUUAGAACGUCGUGAGACAGUUCGGUCCCUAUCUGCCGUGGGCGCUGGAGAACUGAGGGGGGCUGCUCCUAGUACGAGAGGACCGGAGUGGACGCAUCACUGGUGUUCGGGUUGUCAUGCCAAUGGCACUGCCCGGUAGCUAAAUGCGGAAGAGAUAAGUGCUGAAAGCAUCUAAGCACGAAACUUGCCCCGAGAUGAGUUCUCCCUGACUCCUUGAGGGUCCUGAAGGAACGUUGAAGACGACGACGUUGAUAGGCCGGGUGUGUAAGCGCAGCGAUGCGUUGAGCUAACCGGUACUAAUGAACCGUGAGGCUUAACCUUACAACGCCGAAG
rnacentral:rRNA from 1 species